rnacentral:rRNA from 1 species
UGGGGAAUUUUGGACAACGGGGGAAACCCUGAUCCAGCCAUCCCGCGUGUGCGAUGAAGGCCUUCGGGUUGUAAAGCACUUUUGGCAGGAAAGAAACGUCGCGGGUUAAUACCCCGCGAAACUGACGGUACCUGCAGAAUAAGCACCGGCUAACUACGUGCCAGCAGCCGCGGUAAUACGUAGGGUGCAAGCGUUAAUCGGAAUUACUGGGCGUAAAGCGUGCGCAGGCGGUUCGGAAAGAAAGAUGUGAAAUCCCAGAGCUUAACUUUGGAACUGCAUUUUUAACUACCGGGCUAGAGUGUGUCAGAGGGAGGUGGAAUUCCGCGUGUAGCAGUGAAAUGCGUAGAUAUGCGGAGGAACACCGAUGGCGAAGGCAGCCUCCUGGGAUAACACUGACGCUCAUGCACGAAAGCGUGGGGAGCAAACAGGAUUAGAUACCCUGGUAGUCCACGCCCUAAACGAUGUCAACUAGCUGUUGGGGCCUUCGGGCCUUGGUAGCGCAGCUAACGCGUGAAGUUGACCGCCUGGGGAGUACGGUCGCAAGAUUAAAACUUAAAGGAAUUGAC